rnacentral:rRNA from 1 species
CGGGUGGUCCGGCACUUAGUGUUGGUACUUUCCUGUCUCUUGCCAUCCUUGGGUCUAAGCUGUCUGGCAUUUAGUUGUCGGGCAGUGGCUGCCCAUCGUUUACUGUGAAAAAAUUAGAGUGUUCAAAGCAGGCUUAUGCCGUUGAAUAUAUUAGCAUGGAAUAAUAAGAUAGGACCUUGGUACUAUUUUGUUGGUUUGCGCACCGAGGUAAUGAUUAAGAGGGACAGUUGGGGGUAUUCGUAUUCAAUUGUCAGAGGUGAAAUUCUUGGAUUUCUGGAAGACGAACUACUGCGAAAGCAUUUACCAAGGAUGUUUUCAUUAAUCAAGAACGAAAGUUAGGGGAUCGAAGAUGAUUAGAUACCAUCGUAGUCUUAACCAUAAACUAUGCCGACUAGGGAUUUGUGGGUGUUAUUUAUGACCCCAUGAGCACCUUAUGAGAAAUCAAAGUCUUUGGGUUCCGGGGGGAGUAUGGUCGCAAGUCUGAAACUUAA